rnacentral:rRNA from 1 species
AUUGAACGCUGGCGGCGUGCCUAACACAUGCAAGUCGAGCGGUAGCGCGGGGCAACCUGGCGGCGAGCGGCGGACGGGUGAGUAACGCUUGAGAAUCUGCCUAUUAGUGGGGGACAACCCGGGGAAACUCGGGCUAAUACCGCAUACGCACUACGGUGGAAAGCCGGGGACCGCAAGGCCUGGCGCUAAUAGAUGAGCUCAAGUCGGAUUAGCUAGUUGGUAGGGUAACGGCCUACCAAGGCGACAAUCCGUAGCUGGUCUGAGAGGACGACCAGCCACAACGGAACUGAGACACGGUCCGGACUCCUACGGGAGGCAGCAGUGGGGAAUAUUGGACAAUGGGCGAAAGCCUGAUCCAGCGACGCCGCGUGGGUGAAGAAGGCCUGCGGGUUGUAAAGCCCUUUCGGUGGGGAAGAAAUGCUUCGAGCUAAUACCUCGGGGCUUUGACGUAACCCACAGAAGAAGCACCGGCUAACUCUGUGCCAGCAGCCGCAGUAAAAC